UUUGCGGAAGCAAUUCCACAGCACCAGCUUUACCCAGCGGGCUGGUUUGAUCGGCUAACUCAGCUUCCACAAGGACAACGUACGGCAUCCACAGUGACAGACACGGCUCAAGUCAGACCUUGUGGCUAUCGUCCAUCUCUUUCAGCAGCAACGAGCACUCUGUGGCUUCAGUGACCACUGACUGCUGCACAACUCGGACCCGCAGGCUCAGGCACCUGACGGAGGGACGGUUUGGGGUCUGGAGUCAGAAGCCCCAGGGCCGCGUCAGGACUUGCGGCUGGGCUGCUGCUCUUCUCCCCAGCGUUCAUCCAGGGAUGCUCGAAGAAUCGCUUUUGGAGCAUUUCUUGAAAAUCAACAUCAUACGGGCCUCAUUCUGUGAUCGCAUGUGACAAAAUCAGAAACUAACAAGCCCCACCCCAGGCACUGUAUCCAGGUGGAAAUUCAAAAACCCUCUCCUACUUGACUCACUAGUGGAACAGAAACCCACAUUGAAGCGUUGGGCUGUUCACAUGCUGCAGCUGCGGGGCCCAGGGCAAGGUGGGGAGGGAGGCGGAGAGCAUAGGAACGAGGCCGCAGCCCGGAGCAGCCACAGCAGGGCCCCGGGCUGCCCUCGCGCAGAUGCAGAGAGCUCCACAAAGAUGAAGCAGAACAUGAGGAAAGCCCGAGUCAGACAGAAAUCCGUGUUGCUGGGGUCUGUAAACCAAAGCCAGCUCUUUGAAAAGGUCUGCUGUGUUGGAGCCUGUGAUUCUGAUUUAGAAGAGAUGGCGUCACCAGCCUGGCCAACAUGGUGAAACCACAUCUCUACUAAAAAUACAAAAAUUAGCUGGGCGUGGUGGCGCAUGCCUGUAAUCCCAGCAACUCGGGAGGCUGAGGCAGGAGGAUCGUUUGAAUCAGGGAGCUGGAAGUUGCAGUGAGCUGAGAUUGCACCACUGCACUCCAGCCUGGGCAACAGAGAGACGGCGCCAAUAAACGGCAAUGAGGGAGGCAUGCCUGCAGCGAGAGCUUUGUGAAAGCUGUAAGAACACAUGCCCUACAAAUUCACAUGGACACACCACAGACUUAGAGGAAAAGGGUUCCUAGGCCCUUCCCAAGGCCCUGGAGUUGCCUUUCGAAGCCAAACAGACAGGACACGUGGAUGGAAGGUCCACUUCUCAGAGAAAGCCUGAAGCAAGCUCAGGAAACUUCUGGAGCUUUCUGGAGCUGUGCGGAAAGCUGUGGAUAUGAGGCCAUGUGGGCCUCUGAACUUGCACAGGCUGGACGUAUGGCACAAAAAUCGCAGAUGGAAAAGAGGAAACCACAGCUUUCACGCUAAUGAACAGUGUUUCUUACAAGGAGUUACCUGGCUUCUAGAUCUGUGAUCAUGAAUUCCAAUAAAGGCA